GUCUUCUCUGUGUCUUCUCCUUCUGACUGCACCUCGUGUUGCUGGGCCAGGGCUGGUGCAAGCACUUCCAGGAGAAUUCAGGGAGGAGGGACACCCAUGCACACACACACAGAGAAUGGACUCACAGCAUUCAAGUUCUCUUUGGCUCCAGGUUUAGGGAUGCAUGACCAUGUAGGGUGCUGAUUUGGAAGGGAAAGGCUGGGCAGGCCAGGGGCUCUGACAGCACCUGUGUUCUGCACUGGGGCCUCAUUAUUGCUCUCCAAGGACCUUGAGCUCAUCCAGGCCAUCUCUGGCCCCCUGCUACCCCCCAGCACCCAGCACACAUUGCAGGCCUGUGCUCUCAUGAAUAUGGAUCCCACCAUCCCUCCCCGCAGGGAUAGAUGUUGGGGGCAGAGCUGUUGAUUACAUUUCCAGCCAAUCAUCGCCCAUUAAGAGGAAGAGCGUGGGCAUUAUGCCUCUUCAGCAAGGAGCCAUUUGCAUUCUGGUGGGCUGGGCCUGCUUUCUGGGCAUGCAUGGGCCCUUGGCUCUCAAUUACGCUCGCAUCCGCUCCUCCUCUGUGGUACUCUUCUCCUCUCUAAGGGUCCUGAUUGGAUUCACCAAUGAGCUUUGUGUUCCUUACAGCUGCGUAGCAUGUUCCAGGCUGGAAGGUGGGAGGACAUCAGGAUCAGGAGUGGCUGGAACAGGAAAUAAACACCUUUCUGCUCUCUCCUUCCCUUCCCCCUUCCUUGAGAAGGAAGAAUCCUAUCUUUUGGAGGGCACAGACCCAGCAGACAGUGGGGAAACCCCUUCUCUGGAGUCGUGGGUGUUUGCCUGCUCUUGUUAAGGUUGGACAGCUGGGGAGGCUGGCCUGGGGGAGGCAGUCUCCUCCACACUCCUCCACGAAGUCACCAGGACAUUGGCUUCUUUGCUUCUCCAUUCUCCCUCCCUCUUCAAGGAAACUAGCACCUCUGAGGUGGAGAAAGGGGGGCUGAGCAGGAGAGGCGAUGCGAUGCGCACCAGCUGAUCGGAGCCUGAUAAAGGAAGGUUACCUGUGUGUUUGUCAACAAGAAGAAAUAAAUAAGAGCAAAAAAAAAAAUAGAAAGAAAAAAAAAGACAGCAGGCAGAGGCAAUCAAAUAUGUAUUUAAUUAAAGCAAACAUAGAAAUAAAAGUUACAUGUUGAAUCAAUAAACAGCACUUUUUUCUACAUGCAUUUUGAACAAGACAGAUCAGAAUCCUCAUGAUGAAGACAUAAUGUGUCACAAUAAUUAGGAACACAGACAAAAGAACAGCUAAUCAGCAUGCAAAUGUAUGCAGUGCUGGUGAUUCAGAUGGGGCAGAUUCCUACCCCCUUUUUGCUUGAUUCAUCUUCAUUGCUAAUCAUCUGAAGGCUGCCAAAUGUUCAGUGACACUAAUGUAUUAUAGGUCAAGAGAGGCAGGUCCUCACCUAUUGCCCCCCCAAACAUCAUGCCUCCCUUCCCUGCUUCCUCUUCAGGGUUUUCAGCAAUCAUGGCCAGAUGCAAUCAGACUCCUUGAAUAGGAACAACUGAGGCUUGUUUGUGGCUCAGCUUCAUUAGAAUCAGGAGGCUGAAGAAAGGAAUAAAUUACUUAAUUGCACAAAAAACUUGCAGCCAAAGUGAUGGUGAGAGAAACUGAUUGUGCGGCUCCACAUCGGGCCACUCUUGGAAUGGGGCGUCUUAGAAUAGCUGGUAGCUUGGCCUCACGGAUUCAGACAGAUUUGGGUGUCCUCCAGAACAGAUGGCUGCAAUACCAUCUAUUCUUCUCUUUGUCAGGUUCCUCCGUUUAUUUGAUCUUGGUCCCUCUCUGAUGCCGGUUGUAUUGGUUGUAACACAAAUAUGCAUUCAGAUCAUAUCCAUUGAGUCUGGCCUCUCCCAACUUUUGUUCUCCCCCCCAGUUCUUUUUUUUCCUCUUUACAAAAAAUUCUCUUCUAAUUUUUCCUUUUGAGAAGAUGAUCAAGUUGAAUUAAAGCCUUGUUGUCCAACUUUUGAAUGUUCGAGCAACAUGCAGGAAAAGGAAGACUGCGCUGGCUGGCGGUGGCUCAGAUGGAGGAGGAGGAAGGCGUUGCUGACAGGGGAGAGCAAAGAAAGAAAAAAGUCAUGCUAUGUGCCAACUGCUGGGAUAUGUUCCUCACCUCUCAGACUCUUAAUCUAUUAAAAAAAGAAAACCCAGCACAUUAUGAACCAGUGCUGUUUAUAUAGAAUGGGGGAGGGAAAAAUAAAGCAAGACAGAGCUGCCCUAGACACCUCCUCUGUUCUGUGGCUUGGUGGCAUGUCCACCCAGCCACUGGGCCUCUGACUCACAUUCCACGCAGGGUUUUUGGUCAUGUGCCCAGAUUACGGGUGGUCCUAAGAUCUUGAAGAAAAGACUUCAUUUUCUCUGGGAAGCCCCUUUAGCUGUGUGCCUGUGUGUAUGCUCUACUGGGAAGCAGAGGAAAUAGAGUCAGGGGCUGGAAUAAAACAAGAGGCUCAGGCAGGGAAGGAAUUAUGCUUGCGUUAGAUCUGAAUGUCUCUCCUCAGAUGAGGGGGCUUUGCUGGUGUCCUGGAAAAGGGCUUGGCCGAGCUGACUCAUCCAGCCACCCCCCCUGCCCUCCCCACUGCUUCUCUGCUUGUUCUGCUCACCCCACCUGCCAGUCCCCUCCCAAGCCUUGGUGUCCCUCUUCAGGUGGAUCUUAGGGACAACCUCAAGCCCUCGAGUGAGGCAGCUCUGCCUGCAAAGACCAGAGAGUGGGCGCACUUGCCUUUCAUUGGUCUCUUUACCAAGUCACUAUCUCCUUUGCAGCUCCUAACCACUGUGUGAGACUUAAAUCUUAAGUAUUGUUUGCUUUCACUCAGCAGAUCUUGUCUGUCGUCCCUCUCGGCAAGACAGAGGCAAUGUCUCUCUCAGCCUCAUUUCCCUGAGUCUAGACCCAGACUUGGCCUUCACCACCUCAGAGCUUGGAAAGAAACAGGAGAUAAAUCUUAAUUCACAGAGGGACUCUAGAGUUCUCGAUCAAUAAGGCUGUGUAUCAUAGCAGUGAGUGUGCUGGGAGCUGAGAGUGGAUCCGAGGCUGGGAGGCAUAGGUUUGAGCCUCAUGUUUACCAUCAGCAAGCUUUUGGGUCUUGGUGCUGUUCUGGUGUUGACCGGAUCCCAGCGAUUGGUUCCUGGCAUGAGAUGUGUAUCCAGUGCCCCAGCCACCCAAUCCAACAGCAUUGCUCACUACCUGGCCUUCCCACUUGGUUGGAGGGUGAAUAGGGAUGACCAGUCUGAUCCACCAAGCAAACAACGGCCCGUACUCCUGUACACACGCUGCUGUGGACGGAGCCGGUACUGCAUGGAAUGUGCCCUGGCCAUCACCUCCCACCAUGUUUGAACAUCAAGACCCAUGGUGCAGGGUGAGAGACGACGAUGUCUGCAGCUUGCCUUUUGACCUCCACAUGUGCACCACAGCACCCCCUUAUGUCCACCUGCCCAGGGCAGCACCAACCACAGAGAGCUGGGCCUUCAAACCAACCAUCCAUCAGGAGAAUCCAUCAAACCAUCCAUCAAGAGAAUCCAUCAAACCAUACAUCAGGAGAACGCACCACAGGUUGCUCACAGGGUAUUUUAUCAUAGCAAAUGGAGACAAAAGAGGAACACAUCCCUCAGAGUGGGAGCAGCUCGUGGAGAAGGCUGGCCGGCCACCAGGAGCCAGUGUGCUUCUGGCUUGUCGGGAUCUCUGGAGAAGGAAGUUUCUCAUGUUGACCCUGCAGAGAAAGCUUUGGCAGAUCUUCUCUCCUUGGCGUAUACUAAUUGUAUAAAAUAAAGGGUUUCGCUCUGA